ACUCCUACGGGAGGCAGCAGUGGGGAAUAUUGCACAAUGGGCGCAAGCCUGAUGCAGCCAUGCCGCGUGUGUGAAGAAGGCCUUCGGGUUGUAAAGCACUUUCAGUCGUGAGGAAGGYGGUGUAGUUAAUAGCAGCAUUAUUUGACGUUAGCGACAGAAGAAGCACCGGCUAACUCCGUGCCAGCAGCCGCGGUAAUAC
rnacentral:rRNA from 1 species